rnacentral:rRNA from 1 species
GAAGGUGGCCUGUGAGGGUUGCUGGAGGUAUCAGAAGUGCGAAUGCUGACAUAAGUAACGAUAAAGCGGGUGAAAAGCCCGCUCGCCGGAAGACCAAGGGUUCCUGUCCAACGUUAAUCGGGGCAGGGUGAGUCGACCCCUAAGGCGAGGCCGAAAGGCGUAGUCGAUGGGAAACGGGUUAAUAUUCCCGUACUUGGUGUUACUGCGAAGGGGGGACGGAGAAGGCUAUGUUGGCCGGGCGACGGUUGUCCCGGUUUAAGCGUGUAGGUGUGUGUUCCAGGUAAAUCCGGUUCACUUUAACACUGAGGCGUGACGACGAGGCACUACGGUGCUGAAGCAACAAAUGCCCUGCUUCCAGGAAAAGCCUCUAAGCAUCAGGUAACAUCAAAUCGUACCCCAAACCGACACAGGUGGUCAGGUAGAGAAUACCAAGGCGCUUGAGAGAACUCGGGUGAAGGAACUAGGCAAAAUGGUGCCGUAACUUCGGGAGAAGGCACGCUGACACGUAGGUGAAGUGAUUUACUCACGGAGCUGAAGUCAGUCGAAGAUACCAGCUGGCUGCAACUGUUUAUUAAAAACACAGCACUGUGCAAACACGAAAGUGGACGUAUACGGUGUGACGCCUGCCCGGUGCCGGAAGGUUAAUUGAUGGGG